GCACUUCAAGCAGCACUGGACACAGCAAGUUUCUUCAAGUGAUCCAUAAACACUUGUAAACUAACAUCAUCUGUAAGAAUAGGUGCUCCAGACUCCUGCCCCCAGGCAUACAUAUUAUUAUGAGUCUGUGAAGGGUUGACUUUUGAAAGGAGGAAACGGGCCUGGCUGCCUCCAUGUUCAGUGUCAAUGUAUCUUGGCAUUGGAAAUCUGGAGUGAAGAAUUUCCUGUGCAUCAUCCACUGGGGCUUGCAGAAG
rnacentral:misc_RNA from 1 species